CGCCUCUGCCCUUUUGUACAAUCUUCCUGUGGGAGAGGAGCUCGAGUGGACAGUCCAAUUUAUACGGAGGUUCUGCUGUUGUUUAUUCUGUCAGAAUAAAAGGAGAUCGUCUCCAAAAAGGUCCCGGUGUCACACCAUUCUUCAAACCGACACAACGCAGAAGACCACCGGUCACAAUUACAUUAAAUUGUUCUAUUUUAGUUCUAUGGAAGCGCAGCGACGAGUCACGUUGAGUCAUCGCUCCCAUGAUGCUUCAAGAGACCACGCACACAUCCAUUCAGGCAGGCUGUGAUUGGUCCGUGGCUUCACACAAGAGACGUGUUUCCUCAUUACAUCGCCAAUAAUAUACGUUUUACCACACAUGUACUGCACUUCCUGACGUUUAACAGACUCUCUAAUAUAUUUAAUGAAAGUGUGUCACAUUUAGUCUUUCUUAUCGACCAGAAAAGCCACUAAAAGUGCACAGUGAAGUCUGGUAUGUACGGUGCCACAACCAGCAUGUGGCAGUGUUGAGUGGAGCUUCAUCAAGUUCCAGACUGACAGUCACGUGACGUAGUCAGUGCCUCACCAAUCAUGAACCUCACCGCAUGUCACUGGUUAGUACCGCUUAUGACAUAUUGCUGAGAGGAAUGAGGCUUGCAUACACCGAUGGAUAAUCCUUUAGAUGCUGAGUGAUCUGAAGUUUCACCUGAUUUGAUAGAGGUGUUCAACUUUGGAGGUUCCACUGUACUUGAAAAUUCAAAAUGUCAUCUCCUCAUCUUUCAUCUAAUAAUUCUUUUUUAUGUAUUUUCUUAAGAAAUUAUUUCAUACUUCAGUCAUCAUAAUGUAUUAUCGUAUAUCCAUUCAUCCAUCCAUUUUCGAUGCCACUUUUCCUUGUUAGGGUCUCGGGUGAGUUGGAGCCUAUCCCAUCUGACUUUGGGCGCCAGCCAAUUGCAGAUUAUGGGUUAUCAAUAAGAUAUAAUUACAGUUUAUAUCAUAGAGCAUAAAUCAUUUUACCCGUGAGACUAUUUGAGUUCCGGGAUGCACAUGUCAUGGAAACAAUGAGUUCCAACCUGGGAACAAUGAUUCCCUGCAGUUUAUCAUCACGGAAUACAUCCAUCCAUCCAUCCAUCCAUCCAUUUUCUGAGCCGCUUCUCCUCACUAGGGUCGCGAGCGUGCUGGAGCCUAUCCCAGCUGUCACCGGGCAGGAGGCGGGGUACACCCUGAACUGGUUGCCAGCCAAUCGCAGGGCACAUACAAACAAACAACCAUUCGCACUCACAUUCACACCUACGGGGAAUUUAGAGUCUUCAAUUAACCUUCCACGCAUGUUAUUGGGAUGUGGGAGGAAACCGGAGUGUCCGGAGAAUACCCACGUAGGCACGGGGAGAACAUCCAAAUUCCACACAGGCGGGGACGGGGAUUGAACCCCAGUCCUCAGAACAGUGAGGCAGACGCUCUAACCAGUCGCUCAUCGUGCCGCCAUCACGGAAUACAGAUACUGUAAUCCUUCGUUAUAUCACGUUUUUUGCUUCGCAGUCCCACUAUAUUCCAGAUUUUUAUUGCAGUUGUUACUCUACUUUCUUAUACUGUUUGUUCAAUAUUUUUGUGUUGUCCAUUGCUCUUGCUCUCUCUCAAUAUAUUACGUGUUUAGGCCUGUCACAAUAGUGAAUUCUUAAGGAUGAUAUAUAUUCCCAAAAACUAUGACCACAAAUGAUAAUAUCAUUGAUGUUUUCAUGCCACUGAUAUAAUGAUAUUAGAGCAUAAUAAUGCAAAGGCAUCCUUUUUAAGAAUAAUUCACUUUUAAUUCUAAUUCUAAGAAUAAUGAACACUGGCAUUGUAUACUAGAACAUUAAAUAAAAUAUCUUAGAUAAAAAAUGUAAAUAAAACAGACUCGAGCUACGUCCACAAAAAUUUGGCUCAGAGGUAUAAACAGUCAUUAAUGCCUAAACAGGCAUAUUUACUGCCAAUCAAGUUUCCAGGCGGUUAAGAAAAAGUGCCAAGUAGCAACAUAAACAACAGCACAAAAAGUAGAUCCAAGCAACCUGUUUUAAUUCAAGAUUUGUAUUUCCUUUUAAAAGUCUGCAACCUUUCUUUAAACGCUGCUUUGUCAACAUGUUCAAUGGCUGCUUCUCCUGUAUAUAAUGUGAGCAUACAUGCACCAUAUACGCUGUCCCGUUUGUAUUUGCAUUGUUGGGCAAGAAUUUCCAUUAUUACAAGCUGACGAGAUACAGGAAAUGUCCCAUUGUGUUUUUUUUUUUGUUCCCAGCUGAAGAAAUUGGGAGGGGUGGUUGUGUUUAAAAUGGAUUUUGUCACUUUGAGGUUUUAAAUGAUGUUGUCUUUGAUGAUACUUCAUACAAAUUCAACACAACACCUCGUCGGUGUUAGCGCGAUGCCUGCGUUCAUCUGGCUUGAAUCCAAAAUGUUCCCACAUCGUCAAGGUGGCGUUGGGCUUUGGAACUAAUUCCAUUAAUUCCAUUAACUGUGCAGCUUCCUGCUCGCCGUCAGAAAACUUAACUUUGUGUAUGCGAGCGCCCGCAUUUCCAAAGCACGCAUGCACUCGCACACGCACCCUGCCCUUCACUAUCUCUGAUUGGUUUAGAGACCACGAUGGGUUGCAUGUGUGUGCUUUCAAGUCGCGGAAAUAUUUUUUUUCCCCUUCCUCAAAUGACUAGGCACCUGUACCUCUUUUUUUGCCGCACCAUUCAGAAAUGACGGCGCAUUUGUGACCAAAUACUCCUGUCUCAUAAAAAAAAAUAAUAAUAAUAAUAAAUCAUAUGCUGGAUUUCCAGCACCACGACAGAUUUCCAAGACAUAGCUCUGCGUUCUAGAUUGAUUAUACUUUAUGCAUUCCUGCUAAUGUUUGUGCGUCUCAGACACUCGACGCACAUCAAAUGAGAUCCCUGAUAUAGUAUUUUAAUUGGGAUUAUUUUUCUUGCAGCUAAUUUGUUGGCUGAAGUAAUGUGCGACUGCCUCAUAGUGAGCAAUGAGGGUUCCAUAUUCAAAUCCCAUUUGACAUUUUUUGCUUUCUGUUAUUGUUACUAUGUCCGGUAUUGAACAGAUGUCACGUGUCGUCUAAUACAUGGAUAUUUAAAACUUUGGCUGCUUAUAAACCAUGUUUGUAUAAACUUCCAUCCAUCCAUUUUCUGAGCCGCUUCUCCUCACUAGGGUCGCGGGCGUGCUGGAGCCUAUCCCAGCUGUCAUCGGGCAGGAGGCGGGGUACACCCUGAACUGGUUGCCAGCCAAUCGCAGGGCACAUACAAACAGACAACCAUUCGCACUCACAGUCACACCUACGGGCAAUUUAGAGUCUCCAAUUUAUGCAUGUUUUUGGGAUGUGGGAGGAAACCGGAGUGCCCGGAGAAAACCCACGCAGGCACGGGGAGAACAUGCAAACUUCACACAGUCGGGGCCGGGGAUUGAACCCGAGUCCUCAGAACUGUGAGGUUGACGCUCUAACCAGUCGGCCACCGUGCCGCUUGUAUAAAUUUAGCAUGCAAAAAUGAUUUUUAGACCUAGGUUUUGUUUGUUUAUUAUGUACAUUUAUGAACUUUCUUUUAAGGAAAAUAACUUCAUCCAAUAGGUCGCAAAGUAAAGCAAUAUCUGUCUAGCAAAAUCCCAUGUCAUGUUUUGAGGUUUGCCUUCAGGGUAUAUUGUUGUUGUUAUUAUCAAUGUGAAAAGAUCCAUGCUUAUAAUUUCGCUCAUUUUGAAUAACAAUGACUUGGCUAUGACUAUGAUGAAAAGAAAUUGGGGAGCAAUUGUUCACUUGUUUGCAGUUAACAAAAGCACGUGCACUGUUUGCUAAUUGCUAAAUGAAGCCAAUCUGAUUCUGCUUUGGCCUAAGAUGAAAAUUAUUUUCUCAUCAAUUGUUGCUGGAGCUCAAACACAGACUUUAUAGCAUUGACAAAUGCACAAACAAAAUCCAUUGUCUCCCUAGCGAUGUGAUUGUGUGUGUUGCAUGAUGGGAUGGGGAUUGGCAGCAUCUCAAGAUGGCUCGGAGGCUUCGCUCACCGCCAUGCUUUAUAGUUAAGUAGCCAACAAAUUGGAAAAGUGGCUUUAUCUAAUUAGAAAAUACAUUCCUUUAGCAAGCAGUCCCCCCCAGGCACACUCAUGAUUAUUUAAACUGGCUGGCCUUGAGAGAAGCAGCAAGCGGCAUUCAGAUUCCCAUCUUAUAUGCUCACCGAGGUUAAGAUAUGCAGUGGAUAUGCUCAGCUAUAAUGAUUGGGUUGUUUUUCUCUUUCCUUUCUUUCUCUCUUUAAACGUAAUGCUGUCUUUCUGCAUAGUUUCCCCAGGCUCCCACAUCCCUAUUGUGUAUUAAAAGGCUAAGUAAUAUUUAUCAUGGUGCCUUUUCAUUAGACAAUUUCCAUGCUGUGCUGAAAAUGUUCUUGCAGAUUGUCUCAGUAUGUUGUUACUGCAUAUUAACGUACGGGCAUUGUUGCAAUGGUUGCAAUCCCAAUCACCAGAGGAAAUUGUUUUGAACCCCUUUAGGCUGAGCGGUUGUCUAGGAUGUUAUGAGUUGUAAUUGUACAUUAUACACGUGAUGUAUUUUUUCUAAUCAAAUCUACAGCAGGUUUAUAAUACUAGGCUACAAUUGAUGCUCUGCUUAAUGUGAGACAUGGAAUACCAAGGAUCAAAAAGCGACUCGGAGCAGCAUCUCACAUCUGACAAAAAUAAAACUGUAAGUUGUGAUCUCAAAAAGAUUGAAGUUGUGUUCCAUAUUUCAGUGUGUGUAUGUGUGUGUGUGUGCGUGCACGUUUGCUCGUGUGUGUCUGUGUGUGUCUGUGUUUCUGGGCAUCCACUGCUGUGUUUAAGUGUGUGCAUGUGUCCACUUUGAGGCUUUUAUUUGUCCACUUAAUAGUCUCUUGCUGUCUUGGGCUACAGUGAGCUCUUGUCUCGCUCAGCACUGUUAAUGAGGCCCCUGGGGAUGGACCUGGAGGUGUGUGUCCACUCAUAUGUACUUUAAAGUUUUACAAACCUGAAUGACUGUGUGUGUGUGUGUGUAUGUGUGUACUUGCAUGUGAUUUUGGAUCUGCUGUCAUUUACAGUAUUAUAUGUGUUUUGCUUUUAUAAUACUACAGACUGAAUAUAUAUGACUUAGCCAUAGUUGCUACCCUCUGAGGCUGCAGCACUUAAUAAACCCCGAAAAACAAAACCAGAUUAUCUCAGAGUUAUAUCUGACCUUAACUUCACCGAUGAUGCUGUGGUAUUUGCAAAGUCGAUGGGUGCCCUUGAUUUCGCACUGGACAAAAUAUCAAGUUUGGAUAAAAAAAAAACACAAAAUCCAGCAAACAAAAAUUUUGGGGGAUACUGCUCCCAGCCUUGUAUUUGUGGGUGGUACGAAAUCAUUCAGUUACCUGCACAGAGUCAUCCACUCGUAUGAUACCUAUGUUCAUGAAGUCAGCAGGGUAAAUGGAAAGAGCAUGGCUAGUUUGUGGCUGCAGAUAUUGACAUCAAAGGGCAAAGUUCCAGGUUUGCUGUUCUGAUUUUGCUUAGUGUGCAAGGUGUUAAAAGUUAUGCAAGCCACGAUACAAAACUGGUGAGGUAUAAAUUACUUUUAAGCCACUGUACUAAAUACAAAUCUGUCAAAUACUGUUCAAACACGGUGCUGGUGGCUGUCAUUAAAAGAUAAGCCUUUAGAUUUUUUUUUAAAGGUGCAUGGUUCCUACUAUUACAACAACUACAGUCAGCGUAAUGGAGUUAAAUAUUUGAUUUAUUUAAAUUUUAUUUUCUUCAAUGCCGGAUAUCAAAAUAUGUCUAUGUAAUAAAGUCACUCAACCAGUCCAUGGUCCAAUGUAGGUUGGGCAGUGCUUAUCCACAGAAGCACAAGCACAACCCCUUUUUUAAUGAUGGACCUCCAAACAUACAUUCAGUCAUAAGCACAGUAUAAUAAUUAAAUUAUUUGUAUUUAUUUUUUUAUUUCCUACAGAAUUUAAAAAAACAAAAAACAAAAAACAUGCCCAGCACCAAAGUGUUCGUGUAUUAGCCGGAGCAGUGCGCACUUCCAGACUGGUCACGACACCUGCGCUAAGCUUCAGAAUACGAUGGACUUGGAUACUCCACAUCCUGGUCACCACCUCUUCCAGCUCCUUCCCUCAGGUAGGCGCUAUCGAACAAUGCAAACUAAAACUAGCAGACAUUCCAACAGUUUCUGCCCUCUUGCCAUUAACGUCUGAAAUAGUUAACUUAAAAUUCCAUUGUAACAUGCUGCCAAUUUUGACUUGCGAUUGUUGGCACAUCUUUGUAGUACUCUCACCACUCUUCACUAUUUGCAUAUCAGUGGUUGACCAAUACUGGCCACUCAUGCUUGAGAAGUACCGGUAUCUGCGCAAUUUGCAAUGGUCACUGUACCAGAUUAUCGCUCUAUUAGUCAAUUCAAACUGCUCUAAAUUGCUUGAGGACUGCAUCAUUUGCACAACUGUCCAAAAAUAAUAAUAACUCUACCAGCAUUACCACAUUAACUUUAACCUUUCAUUGCUCAGUGACUCCCCGUACUGUGUAUUUAUGUCUCAAAUGUACUUUCUGUCAAAUGGCUGGUGUUUGUUCUGUUGUCGUACUAGAUCGGCUGCA